UUCAGAUCGCAGUCCGCAACUCGACUGCGUGAAGUCGGAAUCGCUAGUAAUCGCGGAUCAGCAUGCCGCGGUGAAUACGUUCCCGGGCCUUGUACACACCGCCCGUCACACCAUGAGAGUCGGGAACACCCGAAGCCCGUAGCCUAACUUUAACGAGGGGGCGCGGUCGAAGGUGGGUUCGAUAAUUGGGGUGAAGUCGUAACAAGGUAAC
rnacentral:rRNA from 1 species